rnacentral:tRNA from 1 species
UCCGUGGUGGCUAAGAGGUUAAAGCGUCUGCCUCCAAUGCGGGAGACCCAGGUUCGAUCCCUGAGUUGGGAA